GCAGAUAUUGCUGGAGGGUGCCAUGCAGCGAGAGCGCGCUACUCCCUGAAGCAUGUAAAAUUGCAGCCAAGCUCCUUCGCUCGACUCCGCUGUAUCCACCGCCCUUUGCAGAAAAAUAGAAUCUGUGCAUAGAGAUCCACACUCCAUACACUCACAUUAUCACCCACGUCCAGAGAUUCAUAACCACAACUAAACAUAACUUCGCAGAAUUGGGUCCUACUUUGUGCAGUCCUUUAUGAGCACCUAAUGCCGAAUAGAUGAAAACCAAGAAAUAGGCGCUGCGACGAAUGGUUCCUCAUGAGGAAUUAAAUGGAGAAGGAGGGAAUAAUCAUGCAAAUUGGUGUAGCAGAUUCAAGUUUUCUUAAGAUUAACUUAGUCUACUUUGUAUAGUAACGAAGCACCGCUGCUUGUGCACAGCGAUGGGAAGUAGUAAGAACAGAUCGGUUGAGACCGGAAGGACAAGUGAAGAGUUUGCAAUUUAAGAUCAUCCUCACCUUCAAAUGUCGCAGGGCGCCAGAAAGGUUAAGCAGUAGUCUGUUUUCAAGAGCACAUUUGUAAAUGACAAGAAUAGUCUUUGAAGUUCAAAUUUCGGCUACACUUGUGUGAAAUCGUUAGGGUUGCAAGCUCUUAAAUUGCUUAUGGUUAAUGUGUAUAUAGGUUAUCCCAUUUAUGGUAUCCAGUUUGAGGAGUGAGUCGUCGAAUAUCAUAGUUAUUCUCUGACCGUUUUACUUGGUAGGUUCAAUCAUAAGAAUCUACAAGUCAUGUUAUAAUUAGGUGCCCCUCCAUUUCUUAGCACGAGACUCCGUAGCUAAUGCAUAAGAUGAUAGAGAAUGUUGUUUCUAGGAUUUGUGUUGUCUUGCUGCCAGGUCUAGAGAUGAUUUGAACAAGGUGUUAUUGACGAUUGAAGACUAAUCUCUGUCAAGGGGUCGAUUUGAAGCUCUUGAACUGCCUUUAAAUCGUCAGUAGUUUUUCUUAGUUUGGAUAGUUAUUCUUCUGUUCAGCUUGUUUUUUAAGUUCCUGAGUGUGUUACAUUACAGACGCUGUUAUGCAUGUGUAGCAUAUGAGUGUUAAUCAUGAUUCAUUUUUGAAGAAAACAGGUACUAAUUACAAGACAGUAGCAGGUGAAAGCUCUAAUUGUGUUCAGGACAAUCUGAGGAAAUUGGGGAUGUUCAAAGCUAAUAUUAGUGAGAUCUUUAUAACUGUCGAAAAUUACCAAAAAGUAGGCACCUUGCAGUUGCAUGCAUCGAAGUUUGCGUAAAGGAAAAGUUCGAAAUGUUAUAAAUUCAACUGAGAGGCGCUGGCCCACUGCACUGCAGAUCAUCGACAAGGGUUGAAACUUUUGAAUGCUGGACCACAGCGAAUACAACAAUGAGUUCUCAACAUGGGCAGAGACCAAUUGAAAUGAACACUGAACUAUUGAUUAACAUUUAAGUACUGAAGCCCAAAAAUCCAGCCGUGUCUAUAUUAGAUAUGGUUGGUAUGUUGGUACAGAAUUUUUGCCUGGUAUGGCCCAGACUUAUUGCAAGCUUUACUACUCAUUUGAUUCAAUUCGAGUCGUUCAAUGCAAGUGGAUAGAAACAUGACACAAGAUGAGCAGUUUGCAUAGUCGAUGUACAUCACAAAACUAUUGUGUGGGCAUUGCAAGAACUAUUACUUAUUAUCUGCAUGGUGUCAGAAUGUUUGGACAUAUCUAGAAGAAGAAGCAACCAAGUGUAGGAAAAAAAGGACCAUGGAAGCCUGUGCCCUCGUAUCCAAAGGUUGCUAAUGGAGGGAUGGGCUUGUCCAUUUAUGUUCCCGCUUUUUAAACACUGGGGACCUUGUACUUCACUUGGGACAUGGGUUUUCCUGUCCUACUUCUGUUUCUGUCCUGCUUCUUCUCUUAAGAAGUCAACAACAACCCAGAAAAUGACUUCCAAAUUCACAUGGGACACCCAUUUGCAUGCAACAGAUGGAUCAUGCACAACUUAUGUUGUCCAUGAACCCUGAUGAAGGAUCCCAGUGGGAAGGCAAGUAUGGCUCAGAACAAGAGACAAUAAGAAGCUUUUGGCAUGAGAAACUGGGACAAGUGGAACCAGGAAGGCAUUUUAACUUGUGGUAGAAGGGUAUAAUCCUGGGGGGACAAAUGCACCACCAUCUAAACUAUAGCCCCCCUUCAUCCCAUUCACCAACUUAACCAGACUGAAUACCCCCACAAUUCUCCUUGACUCUAAGAAUUGUGAUGAAGAGUGUGUCAAGGUGGCUGGAAAUCAGCAGAAUGUUGGAUAAUGGCAGUAUGUCUCACAGUCUAGUGAGUGAGGGUGACAAAGUUAUAACUUUGCCCACUAAAUCAUUCAGGUGGGGCUUUGAAGCAAUGGAGGCAGGGGACUCUCCUUGGCUUUUGCAGCCAAGAUUGUGGCCCAUGUACAUGAACAUUGUCUUACCCAUGAGGGGAAGGAGUUGCUUUAGCCCAGGCUUUCAGUUCUGGUCCCAACUUUGUGUUGCAGUUUGUCCCACAGAUAUGCUUUUUUUUUUUUUCCAAAAAAUUCUGAGCAUUUCAAGAUGUAUCACACAACCUCAACAAUUUGACGCACUAAUGUUGGCUUCAGAAGCCCUACAGUCCAAACAGCUGGACAUCUUGCACAGGCACCCAACAUCCACUGUAUAAAGGAGUAACUCAGAUAUGGACCCAUUAGAACCCCACACAUAUGUCUCACAGAUGUAGGUGUAGAAGGGCUACAAUUUGGAAGGUGUAGGGAAUUUAGGACAGCCUUAGAUAGCAAACACUCUUAUCAGAAAUGGGUAGUGGGUACAAGCUACGAAGUAUACAAAUAUAUAUAUAUAUAUAUAUAUACACAUCUAAUAAAGAUUGGGGUGUUAGCUAAGGGAGGAGGGGGUGGCACAAAAGGCCAAUUCCACAAAUGAUGAAUGGGGUCCAUGGGCCCAGAUAGAUGGGGGGGCAUUGUGGGAGAAGAAUCUCCAUUGACAAAGCUUCAACUGCCAUCAAAGGAGGCCACUAUGGGGAGAGCCUAUUCAAGCUGCCUUUCAUCAUAGCCAUCAUUGACCGCCCUACCUCCCUCAAAACCCUA